CGACCUCGCGCUCUGGGUGGCCGGGACCGCCCCAGAGCCCCUGGGCAAAAGAGCAGCCCCGUUGUGGGGAGAGCAGCAGAAUGUAGAAAAGCUGAAGUUGAUGGGAAUAGAUUUCAUUUGGAAAAUAACCAUGAAAUUACCUGAUGAAGAAAUUGCUAAUGAAGCUAUUCAGUUAAUCAUAAAAUAUAGUUAUGGUAAUCUAAAUCCUAGCUUAAAGAGGAUGAAUAUCUAAGGAAAGAAAGUUACUCAUUGCUAUGCAAGAUUUGAAAUAAUUUAUAAAGUUGAUGUUUGAGAGUGCAUUCUAUUGAAGAAUUUGUCAACUGUACCACUGUGGCAUAGGGAACAGGAACUUGCCAUGAUACCCUCAAUAUGGAUGUGUACUGUAGCAAAUCUCAUUCUCCUACCACCUCUCUUCUGCACUCCAUCCUCCCACCACUAUAGAAAUACAGUUCAUAGCCAAGAUGAACAAGAGGAGGAACAAUCACCACACACAAAAAUCAGUCACCAGGCAUCAGAGCCUUCUGGGGUGAACAUCUAUCAUUACCAUCAUCACCACCACCAUCCUCACCGCCGUCAUUGCUGUUUUUUAUGAGCUCACAGGAGUCAUGUGGAGGCCCAGGGGAACCUCGCUUAAAUUCCAUGAUGAAGGCCAUGGGGAGAAACAUUUGACUGGGGCCCUUCUGCAUGAGGAAGUGGAGGUUGUUAGUGUCUCCAGGGCAGAUACCCUGCUAUGUUCUCUGACCCCCCUCCCCACUCCACCGCAGUUGCUGAAAUGGUGCUGGCUUGUCACAGUUGCUCACUCCUGGGAUGAAACAUGGGGUCUGUGGCUGCCUGAGCCCACUGGGCUCUAGACCUCUGUGUGAUGCUCCCCCUGCCCUGUCUGGGUAAAAAACCCCAGCAAGGAGGAAGAGGCAGACCCCCUCAUCCACUCGAUGCGCCUGCAGUAGCUCCCUCAAAUACUCCAGGCCAGGACCACCUCCUUUCAGUGCCAGCAUGAGGCUCCCGGCCAGCACAGUGAAGUUGGGAGAGACACUGGCAGGAUACACACAGCUAUGCAGGCAAAAGAGGAAUCAAAAAGGAUCAAGUUGCCAGCUGCCAUCUGCCUUUUGCCUUUCCCUUCCACUUCCCCCAGCCUGUCACCCUCCUCUCCUGGUGGGCUAAAAGUGGCACGUUUAGGAAGAUCACAGCUGAGUGUUUGGGACAAGGACUGAGGGGUGGGGUUGGUGUUCCUGAAGACAAACAUCAUGUUCUCAAUUAUUCGUGGGAGCUAAUAAUUAAAACGAUUGAACUCAUGAAGGUAGAGAGUAGAAAGAUGGUUACCAGAGGCUGGAAGGGGUAGUGGAGUGGGAGGAGAUGUGGGGAGGGUUAAUUGGUACAAAAACAUAGAAAAAAACCUAGUAUUUGCUAGCACAAC
rnacentral:lncRNA from 1 species